CUNUCUGACUUGAGUGCAGAAGGGGAGAGUGGANUUCCAUGUGUAGCGGUGAAAUGCGUAGAUAUAUGGAGGANCACCAGUGGCGAAAGCGGCUCUCUGGUCUGACACUGACGCUGAGGCUCGAAAGCGUGGGUAGCGAACAGGAUUAGAUACCCUGGUAGUNCACGCCGUAAACGAUGAGUGCUAGGUGUUAGGCCCUUUCCGGGGCUUAGUGCCGGAGCUAACGCAAUAAGCACUCCGCCUGGGGAGUACGACCGCAAGGUCGAAACUCAAAGGAAUUGACGGGGGCCCGCACAAGCGGUGGAGCAUGUGGUUUAAUUCGAAGCAACGCGAAGAACCUUACCAGGUCUUGACAUCCCGAUGCUAUUCUUAGAGAUAGGAAGUUACUUCGGUACACCGGAGACAGGUGGUGCAUGGUUGUCGUCAGCUCGUGUCGUGAGAUGUUGGGUUAAGUCCCGCAACGAGCGCAACCCUUAUUGUUAGUUGCCAUCAUUAAGUUGGGCACUCUAGCGAGACUGCCGGUAAUAAACCGGAGGAAGGUGGGGAUGACGUCAAAUCAUCAUGCCCCUUAUGACCUGGGCUACACACGUGCUACAAUGGUCGGUACAACGAGUUGCGAGCCGGUGACGGCAAGCUAAUCUCUGAAAGCCGAUCUCAGUUCGGAUUGGAGGCUGCAACUCGCCUCCAUGAAGUCGGAAUCGCUAGUAAUCGCGGAUCAGCACGCCGCGGUGAAUACGUUCCCGGGCCUUGUACACACCGCCCGUCACACCACGAGAGUUUGUAACACCNGA
rnacentral:rRNA from 1 species